CCACUUCUGCUGCUCUUCCUGGGAGGAGGCCAGCAGCAGCAGGUUCUUGGCUGUGGAGACGUCGUAGUUCACUGAUGGUGGAAGAAGAGAUUCACUUUCAGUAACCUCAACACAAACGGGAGCACGGACGACCUGUUUGCAACACUCCUGGUGCCUAUGCAGGAUCCUAAGGUGUUCCCAGGCCAGAAGUCCCUCAAAUGAGGCUUGGGUCUCUCCUCAAGGGUCACCUUCCCAGUGGGACAUGCCAACUCUGAAGGGGGUUACAGGAGGCAUCUCGAUCAGAGGAACCCCUUCAGCCAACUGCCUUUGAGGAGGUGGAGCAGCUCCCCCUGGAUGGCAUAGCUCCUGACCCAAGGCAGAGAGCUCGACGACCCUACAGAGGAAGCGUAUUCCAGCUGCUAGUAUCCAGGAUGUUGUUUUGUAUCCCACAACCAUCGGUGAGGGUCAGGACAUAGAUGGAGCAGUGAUAGCCUCACAAUUUUAGCUUGACUCUUCAUAAUAACUUAAAAAGAAACUUCAUAGCCGAGUCCAACAAAAGUAGUCUCUUACAUCUAAUCUGCUUAUUUAACAAUUAUGUAAUAAAAUAAACAAAUGAAAAAACAA